rnacentral:tRNA from 1 species
GCGGGUAUAGCUCAGUGGUAGAGCACAUGCUCAGCAUGCAUGAGGUCCUGGGUUCAAUCCUCAGUACCUCCA